rnacentral:lncRNA from 1 species
UUGGAUUGAACUUCUCAAGGAUUAUGAUUGUAAAAUUUUGUAUCACCCAAGCAAUGGUAAUAUAGUGGCAAAUACUCUUAGUAGGAAGAAUGCAGGUAUAUUAGCCUAUAUGAUGUUCUCUCCAUGACAAUUGGUAAAAGCCAUGUAAAGGAUAUAACUCCGAUACCUGGAACGUGUUACAUACAUGGCUCAUUUAAAAAUGUAACCCGUGUUGAUCCAGAGGAUUAAGGAGGAUCAGUUGACUGAUCCUACCUUAGUAGUCAUAAAAAAGGACACAAAAUAAGGCUUAAAGCUAGAAUUC